rnacentral:rRNA from 1 species
UCAAUCUCUCUACUCUUGAACGAAUUAUGCUAACUCCUAAAAGGUGAACCUGCGGAAGGAUCAUUACAGAGUGAGGGUCUUUGGCCCAAUCUCCCACCCAUGUGUACUUGUCCCUGUUGCCUUGGCGGGCCGAGUGAAAACCCUCUGGUUCUCCGGAGUGUGCUCGCCAAGGGUCCAUACGCUCUGUUUUAUUGAUGUCUGAGGAAAACAAAAAUAUACAAAACUUUCAACAACGGAUCUCUUGGUUCUGGCAUCGAUGAAGAACGCAGCGAAAUGCGAUAAGUAAUGUGAAUUGCAGAAUUCAGUGAAUCAUCGAAUCUUUGAACGCACAUUGCGCCCUUUGGUAUUCCGAAGGGCACACCUGUUCGAGCGUCAUCGUCACUUCAAGACUUGGUUCUUGUUGUUGAGCCUCAAUGCUUAUGCAUUGGGUUCGAAAAACAGUGGCGACGCGGCCGAUUUCUCAGCGCAGUGACUAUUACGCUCAGGAAACGGUCGGGUUGAUCUUUUAUACUUUUCAAGUUUGACCUC